GGUGAACGAGCGGCGGACGGGUGAGUAAUUGUCUGGAAACUGCCUGAUGGAGGGGGAUAACUACUGGAAACGGUAGCUAAUACCGAUAACGUCGCAAGACCCAAAGAGGGGGGACCUUUCGGGGCCUCUUGCCAUCAGAUGUGCCCAGAAUGGGGAUUAGCUAAGUAGGUGGGGGUAAACGGGUUCACCUAAGGCGACGAAUCCCUUAGCUGGGUCUGAAGAAGGAUGACCAGCCACACUGGAACUGAGACACGGUCCAGACUCCUACGGGAGGCAGCAGUGGGGAAUAUUGCACAAUGGGCGCAAGCCUGAUGCAGCCAUGCCGCGUGUAUGAAGAAGGCCUUCGGGUUGUAAAGUACUUUCAGCGGGGAGGAAGGUGUUGUGGUUAAUAACCACAGCAAUUGACGUUACCCGCAGAAGAAGCACCGGCUAACUCCGUGCCAGCAGCCGCGGUAAUACGGAGGGUGCAAGCGUUAUCCGGAUUUAUUGGGUUUAAAGGGUCCGUAGGCGAUCUGUAAGUCAGUGGUGAAAUCUCACAGUUAAUGUGAAAUGCCAUUGAUACUGAAGGUCUGAAGUGUAGUGAANUAGNUGAAUAAAGUA
rnacentral:rRNA from 1 species